UGUAUAUGCUGAACCUUUCAUUACUGUGCCAGAUUCCUCCAAAUAACUUAACUGUAAGGAAGAAAAAAUACACUUGUUACGGGAACAACCUUUGCGGCCGGGAAAAUGCAGACAGACCUGUUGACUACUUCCCUGUUUAACCUAAAAGAAUACGAUCAUCUCAUUGGCUGGAGUGAUUUAUCAAUGUUGCGUAAUGUUAUUGUCACAACGGUAUUUAAAGAGAGGGUUUGUGCAGUUUGAAGAAGUUUUAUGCACAGAGCAGGAAUCCUGAAAGACAAAUCCUAUCACCAUGGCUUGCAUUUACGGCGAUGUUAUGAAGAUUGACACCACAGGCGCAUCAGAU